GACCAGUUCUCCUCCUAUCUACUUAGGGACAUCCUCGUUCUCCUCUCAAUCUCUGUUGUUCACAAAGACACCCACGCCUCUGGUUCAAUCGCUGUAAGACAUCAAUUACUUGAUCAAUGGUUGGACGCACACUCUGCUCACGAUGGACACCCACACUCUGCUCACGUUGGACGCCCAGUUGUGUUAAAGCAAAUGAAACUUUUGCCUUAGACCACAAAUAUUUAAGGUCCCAAAAAUAUAAAGUACUGCUAUAUUAUAAUAUUAUAUAUGUCAUUUAUAUUCAUAAAAUUAUUAAUAAAAUAUUUUAAAUUUUCUUAAAAUUUGGUAGAGGUAAUAUUGAAUAAGUUAGGAUAAAAUAUUUCUCUCGCUAAAUUAAAUAAUAUAUUUAUCUUCUCAGCAAUUCUAUUUUUCUCUCUUUCUUUAUUUAUAUUUUUUACGAUUUUACUUUCUAAUUUUAACUCAGACUCUCUAAAUUAAUUAUUUUUUUGUUACAUUUGAUUGAUCCACACAUCAGAAAGCAAGUUCUUUUGUGUCUCACUUUUUUAAACUACGAAAUCCACGAGACACGUGUCAUAAGGUUCAAAACGAGAUCGAUUAUAGGCUUAACCCUUUUACCAUUUUCACUUAAUGAUAUAUUUUUUAUAGGGGAUAGUUCAAUACCAUAUAACGUGCGCCUAACCCACAUAUUAUAUGUUGUUCGCUCACACUUUUUUUUUGUCUCAAUAUGUGAAUUUUAUGAAAGAAAUUUCAGGGUCUUUUAAUAUAUUUUAGUUUUAAGCCACCAGUUCUGUUGAGUCGUGUUGAUUAAUUAUGAACAAGUAUUUAUAGAUCACUGUCCUAUGAACGUGUUACUCAACCAGCUUCAUUCAUAUCGGGUAACUAAAUAACACAUUCACUGAUUGCCGUUUUAUUUUAAUUGAGACUCUAUAAAAUUUGAUUGAGAAUGCUCGAGUAGGAAAUUAGUAACACAUUGAUUUAGAUUUCCAAAAUUUCUUAAUAAUGGAUUUUAUGAUUUUAUUUCAACUUAGACAAUAUUAAAGUUUACCCAAAAAAAGUACAAAAAAAAAUUGGACAAAAGAAAGAAAGAAAGAAAGAUUAUCUACUCUUUAAAACUAAAAAUACUUUAGAAGUUUGAAUUAAAUUACUUAAAUCUUCAUAUUAGUAAAUACUUUUUUUACAACAAUAUUAAAGGUAACAUAUUGAAAAUACCUGUCUAACAUCUUAUUUAUUUAAGUUAUCUCUUACUAACAUAGAUAAUAAUACUACGUGAAGUUAAAGGUUUUAUCAUUUAAGAAUGUUAUACUAUAAAUAACAUGUAGGAAAAAAUUGGCAACACUAACUUUUUUCUGCAUGUGUGUGUAUACAUACUAAUAAAAAAGUAUAAGGCAUCUUAUUAAAAAUUGGCUUUAGGCCAUUGAUUUUAUGGAGACGCCCGUGCUCAUGGACAACAUGCCCUUUCCUUUUGUUUUUUUCUUCACACCAAAAAACAAAAUUAUACUCCUCCUCAUCUGCUGAAUUGUCUUUUUCCUUUCCAAGCCACUGCUUCAACUUCUUAAUCUGGCUAUUGUCCGGUCUCUGUCUUACAGUAAUAUGUAGGCUAUACCUACAUAUUAUCAUAGAUAGUUUAGCAAAACCAUGAUGUUUUUUUAGAUUAAAAAAAACAUCUAGCAAAUAUCUACAACAAAAAGUAUCCUUACCAUGAGCUACAUAAAAAGGGUCAGCAUAUCCAAAACUGAAACGACUAUCAUUUUCUGCGCUUGCAGCUGGUUUCACUGUCCCAAAGUCACACAGAACUCCAUUCAAAUCCUGCAUGUAAGUUUUAUCAAUCAGUCCAUAGAUAUAGAAAACAAAUAAGUUUAAGAAAGUGUAGUUACGUCGUCCAAAAGUAUGUUGGCAGUUUUAAAUCCCUGUAAAUCAGCGGGGAUCUUGUCUGUGCAACUCCCCUUAGGACAUUAACAAUUUCUCCCCAACCUAAACCUGUCAAGAGUUGGAAAAAAAUUGCUUUAUGAAUUCAUGUAAUUGAAACUUGUUGGAAAGCUCAACUUGCACAUUCUGAAGAUAAAUGUUGUAACUUUAUGCAUUAAAACAAUAGAUUUUGCCUUUUCCCUAUUGUUGUCUAAUGCUAGUUUCAAUGUUUUUGAAA